ACUCAAACUUGUGACCCUCCUGCCUCAGCCUCUGCACAAUAACUGAAACUAUAGGUGCGUGCCACCCACCCCACUUGAGGUUACUCUUUAUUUUUUUGCUAAAAAGAAUGGCAAGACAGCCUAGAUAUUAAUAAUAAGAUUUAAUGUGGCCACGUACAGCCCCUUGCUUAAGCACGUGAUCCCACACAGGAAUCGGUGCUCCAGGGAGCUGUAACCUGGAACCCCAAGCUCCUUGUCAGGUAAGAAUCACUUUAGGGUGCAAGCGUUAAGUAAGGGUUAAAAUGGGUUCUGGAGCAAGAGGUCAUCAGGUGACUGCCGCUGAGAGAAGGCAACAGAAGGAGGGAGGGGAAAGGAAAAGCAGCUCAGACACAGGAUUUCCCUCCAAACAGCAGCCUGGGAAUCCACGCCUCCCCGCAGGCCACCCUGAGAGGUGGGUCCGGGCUCUGGUGUCUGUUUAUGUCAGAGGAGGCACUGGCCUGACCCAGGUCUCUCUAGGUUUUGGGUCCAGUCGCAGGGUCACCAUGGCGACCUCUAACCUGGCGCAUGCGCAAAGGGGUAAGGAAGGCCCAGGGACCACGCAGCCCAGGGCCCGAUGAGGGCUACAGCUCAGCCCCUUCCGGCCUCCAGCUGGUGACAGCAAGCAGUCUGCUCCCCUGACAGUCACUGCGACACAAACCUAAAGGCCUGUUCCUAAGGCACUGAUGAGCAUGGGAAAGUGCUCUCCAAACAAAUCCACAGCGAGUCAAGGGCCUGGAGGGGGUGCAGAUGAGCCACCGCAUCACAGGAAUGCAAGACAGGGCACGCGAUGAGCAGAAGGGUUCUCUGUCCCCAGCACUGCCGACACUGCAGACCAAAUACUCUUUAUGAUCUGGCCACCCUGUGCACCCUAAGGUGUCCCUCAGCAUCUCUGGCCUCUGCCGACCACAAUCCAGUAAAGCCGCCCCAGGCAGGCAAGAAGCACUGCAACUGUGAGAUGGGCCAGACCCCGGAGAACACAGGUCGAGGAGAAACUGCUUAUCAUCACCUAUAAACUCUUCGGUGUCAUCUGUCUGUGUGCUGGGAGUCAGGUUCCUGUCUCUAAAUCGCUCAUCAGUAAAGCAUCAACAGAUCCCUGGUGACCUGAAAGAAUUCGUGACCCCUCCACCCCUAAUAAAGUAGAACUUAAAAGA